AUUGAACGCUGGCGGCAGGCUUAACACAUGCAAGUCGAGCGGUAACAGAGAGAAGCUUGCUUCUCUGCUGACGAGCGGCGGACGGGUGAGUAAUGCCUAGGAAUCUGCCUAGUAGUGGGGGAUAACUUGCCGAAAGGUAAGCUAAUACCGCAUACGUCCUACGGGAGGAAGGAGGGGACCUUCGGGCCUUUCGCUAUUAGAUGAGCCUAGGUCGGAUUAGUUAGUUGGUGAGGUAAUGGCUCACCAAGACCGCGAUCCGUAACUGGUCUGAGAGGAUGAUCAGUCACACUGGAACUGAGACACGGUCCAGACUCCUACGGGAGGCAGCAGUGGGGAAUAUUGGACAAUGGGGGGAACCCUGAUCCAGCCAUGCCGCGUGUGUGAAGAGGGUCUUAGGAUUGUAAAGCACUUUAAGUUGGGAGGUAGAGCAGUUAACUAAUAUUUGACUGUUUUGACGUUACCGACAGAAUAAGCACCGGCUAACUUCGUGCCAGCCGCCGCAGUAA
rnacentral:rRNA from 1 species